CAGUCGCCGCGGUAAUACGAAGGGUGCAAGCGUUACUCGGAAUUACUGGGCGUAAAGCGUGCGUAGGUGGUGGUUUAAGUCCGUUGUGAAAGCCCUGGGCUCAACCUGGGAAUUGCAGUGGAUACUGGGUCACUAGAGUGUGGUAGAGGAUAGUGGAAUUUCCGGUGUAGCAGUGAAAUGCGUAGAGAUCGGAAGGAACAUCUGUGGCGAAGGCGACUAUCUGGGCCAACACUGACACUGAGGUACGAAAGCAUGGGGAGCAAACAGGAUUAGAUACCCGCGUAGUCCCUGUCUCUUAUAC
rnacentral:rRNA from 1 species